UGGGGAAUUUUGGACAAUGGGCGAAAGCCUGAUCCAGCAAUGCCGCGUGUGUGAAGAAGGCCUUCGGGUUGUAAAGCACUUUUGUCCGGAAAGAAACCCUUGGCUCUAAUACAGUCGGGGGAUGACGGUACCGGAAGAAUAAGCACCGGCUAACUACGUGCCAGCAGCCGCGGUAAUACGUAGGGUGCAAGCGUUAAUCGGAAUUACUGGGCGUAAAGCGUGCGCAGGCGGUUUGCUAAGACCGAUGUGAAAUCCCGGGCUCAACCUGGGAACUGCAUUGGUGACUGGCAGGCUAGAGUAUGGCAGAGGGGGGUAGAAUUCCACGUGUAGCAGUGAAAUGCGUAGAGAUGUGGAGGAAUACCGAUGGCGAAGGCAGCCCCCUGGGCCAAUACUGACGCUCAUGCACGAAAGCGUGGGGAGCAAACAGGAUUAGAUACCCUGGUAGUCCACGCCCUAAACGAUGUCAACUAGUUGUUGGGGAUUCAUUUCCUUAGUAACGUAGCUAACGCGUGAAGUUGACCGCCUGGGGAGUACGGUCGCAAGAUUAAAACUUAAAUGAAUUGACGGGGUCAUAGCUGUUUCCU
rnacentral:rRNA from 1 species